AUUGUUCAAGUUAGUUGAAAAUAGACCGUCUCUGGUUAAAUUAGUUCUACACCAAGCCUUUAGGUGGCAGUAAAACGAAUUGGCACAAUGCGAAUUCCACACACAAGCCACAAAGAAGCCAUCAGCCGCGGUCAACAGCACCUUCCUGAUUGAACAGAACCACGCGUUGUCUGUGUGGUUUACAAGUUUCUUGGCGAUAUGGGGGGAAAGUUCCUCACAUACCAACGGAAAAUGGGCUUCAUAUACAUGCUGCUGUCUCAUAUGGCGAAGACGAGUCACCUGAAGGCCUAACUCGCCAUAGAAGACUGAAAGAAUUGUCCUGCAGGAUGCUGUGUCCUGCAAUCCUGUGUGCUGUGCUACAGACGCGUGUGGAGGUCAACCCAAAAUGGGCACAGUCUCACCACAGAAGAGUGAAAGAGGAUCCUGGCAGGGAGACGGUAGUGUCCUGCAGAAUGGUGAUGGGCCAAUCUUACAAGAGACCACAGAAAACUGAUAUAGUGAACUAUAGAAACAACAGUGCCUGCUGCAGUAUAACGAGGACACCCUGAGCAGAGAGCUCCAAUAGACCCAGGUCCAGUGUCUUGGCAGGGUGAAAUGGCACUGAUAUGGUGUCCUGCAGGAUGCUGUGUCCUGCAAUCCUGUGUGCUGUGCUACAGACGCGUGUGGAGGUCAACCCAAAAUGGGCACAGUCUCACCACAGAAGAGUGAAAGAGGCUCCCAGAAGUGAGACUGAGUGCCUGUUGCAGUAUGACGAGGACGCAGUGACCAGAGACCUUCAGUAGACCCUGCUGGCAUGAUUGGCGUCUGAAGAACAUGAAAUCAACAGCAAUGUUUAUAAUGUUGUACAUACCUGUAUAGUCUGUAUUAAAAGGCAGUACCUGUA